UGUCUCUCUACGAGCCUUGCCCGCCUCUCCCUCCCCUCCCUCCAGCUCUCUCUGCUCCCUUCCUGCUGUCCCUACAAGCGCAUGUGGGAAGUACAUGCUUUUCUGAGUCCGAUAAUGCUCUCAAAUUACUUAGCCUCUUGGUGUUUCAAUUUCCUUGUCUGUGAACUUGCAGCUGUGAAAGUCUAUAAGGACUGUGUUGGACCUCUUGGGCUGCCACGAAACCCCAGACAAUGUCUGGAAAUGUGUGGAUGGAUCCUGAAAGGGGAGGUACUAUCAGAGGUAUUGUUAUACAUCAUCCGGCCUUCCUCAACUCUGCUGUGAAACCCUGAAACAAUGCAUUGUCCAGCUGGGAUGCCAUAUUGGGCUACAGAGGAAAGUCAUGUCCUAGGUAAGCUUCUUAUCUCUAUGAAAAGAAGGAAGGAGAAUAGUAAUUCUUAAAACUAAAAUAAUCUUAUCUACUAUAAAAUUACUCUAGGACCAUCGUUAAAAUGUUUGAAACCUUAAAAAAAAGUCAAAGAUAUCUAUAUCUAUCUAUCUAUCUAUCUAUCUAUCUAUCUACACAGACAUAAAAGCUACCCUUGAUCCCACCUGCAAAAGGUAACCAUUAUUAAGACAUGGGCUGUAUUCGUUCUAGUUGUUUUUCAGGGCAUAGACUUUUAGUUUCCUGUUUUCUUUGGUAGUUUUCAAUAGUGAUGAUCACUGUCCAAAACAUAUUAUCCCUGAUUUUCUUUUUUUUUCAUUUACUAUUAUAGGCCUGUGCUUCUGUGUGUUUGACAGUAAUACUAACUAGUAUUUAUAAGAUGUUCACUACCGACUGGGAACGACCUUGAGAAUAGUAUGUAAAUUAUCUCAUCUCAUUUCAAAAUCAUCCUACAAGGUCUGUGGAUAUUAUCUGCAGUUUGGAGUGGAGGAAGUUGAGGCUCAGAGGGGCUCAGUCACAUGCCGGUGGUUUCGUGGCUCAUAGGUGGCGGGGCUGGGUUUGAAGAAAGGUCUGACUGAAAGCGGAGCGCCCAUUCCCUGCCACCUGCCCCCUGCUCUGGUCUCUCGUGUGCGGGGUCUCACAGCCAGGUCCAGAAGAGCACAUAGGGAGCUGGGUGUUGCAGAGUUCCAGAGAACAGCCCCACUUCGUUUCCCUGGUUUCCCUGGCUCUUUCUUUCCUCCUACAUUCCCUCUGGGUAAAUUCCAAAAGGAAACACUCCUUUACAGCCCUCCUUUUCUGCUGCCUGUAUUGAAAAUUAGAGCUCAAUUAAUGGUAGGUAGUGGGGCUGAUUCGACAGCAUGGUGCUUUUACAAUUAUUGCCUUUCUGAGAGUUCCUUGAAAAUGUCACUAUAGAGGUGCAUAGACAUUUUCUGGAUCUCUGGUGGCCCAGGCAAUGCCUUCGAUGUGGUCAUAUCGCCUGCUGGUGUCUGUUGUCUCUGGUCUUUAAAAUAUAUCUGGCCCUUCUCCACCCACAUGCAAAGGAUCAGGGACAAAAGCCAACUGCAAGUCAAAGUUCCUGUCUUGUGUUCAGGACAGUCCCAGGACAGGUGACUUGUCUUGUACCUACUCUCUAAUGACCCUUGUUCUGAACACACACCAUCCGCCACCGCCUUGGUUUAUUAGGACUCCUUUUGUUGAAAGUGACAGAAAAAAACAACCCAAAUGAACUUAAGCCAAUAAGGAACUUAUUAGGCUACAUAACAGUAAAAUAUAAAGCUACCUUCAGGCACAGCUGGAUCCACGAUAUCAGACAAUGUUCUCAGGGCCUUUCUUUCUCCUGACUUCAGCUCUAGAUAGCCUGUUCUGAGAGUCAGAGUGGCUGAAGCCAUCCCAGUUCUGGGUCUAAAAGGAAAGAGAGAGAGCUCUUGCCCAAAUUAGGGUUAGGAAACUUUUCCCUUUUGGUAGUAAGAACAUGUGUUAUGUAAGCACAGCUGUUGUCUGUAACUCCAUUUGUAUUUUGAGAGAGCAGUAGAAUUUGCUUAAGCUACGGCCGGGACCUUCCCUAAAAUGUUCUGGACUUUCCGGAUAUGGCAUGAUAAGUUUGGGAUCUCAAGGAGCUUUCUAGUUUGAUCUCAUUGCUCUGAGGGAAAAAGGAGAGAGAGACAGAGAGAGAGAGCAAGGAGGAAGGGUAGGAAGAGAGGAAGAGGGAAAGAGACUCGGAGAGACCAAGCUUUUACUCUGGCCAGGCUUCAGGUGCCUGACUCAUGUCCUUACAUUUAACCCUCCUGGUGACUAUGAGGGGGAAUCAUUAUCAUCUUCAUUUCACACCGAGGAAACCAAGGCUUGGCCACGAAGUCAAAGAGCCUAGAUUCGAACCCAUAACUGCCGAUGCCAUAGCUUAUGCUCUGAACAGUGGAUUUCCCGCUACAUGGGAGACUCUUGGCUUGAAGAGCACCCUCGACAGAAGGGUGGUUACUAGCUUCAAAACGCGACGUUGGGAUAAAGAUGUGUGGGCCAAGGGUGGGCUGGACACGUUAUUUACUCUCCACGCUUGGGCAGCUCGGGGGCUGAAAGGUGGUGCCUUUCAUGACGUUACCGGGAGAACAGGCAUCUUUGGGGACCGUCAGGAGCAAAACUGGGUGCAUGGACUAUCUAAGCAAAGGUGAGUGUUGAAACCUAGGAGGGCUAUCUUGGGCUCAUUUUUACAGACGAGAAAGCAGAGCCCGCAAAUCACGGAGCUUUCUCACCCAAAUCUGUAGGAUUCUGAAGUUCGUGCCCUCUUUUCCUUCACAACAUCCUGCCUCCUGAAGCCUUUGAAUUCCAGUUCUUGAAAGUACAGCUCUCCGCAGGGGCUGGUGGGCAGAGGUGGGCAUUGCCAACAGCACCCGGCUGCCAGCGCAUUAGGGACACCGCUUUCUCAAAUCUGUUAUUCCCGGAGACAUCUUGUCCUCGCUUCCCCAUAUGGAGGCUCCCUCUGCUCCCAGCCCUGGGGACUGGGCAGGAAGAGGGGUGCUUUCCUUUUGCCAAAUGCAGGAAAGUUCUGCAGAUCGCAGGGUUCUCGUUCCCAUCUAACUGUCCCAUGUCUGUUUUUCCUUCACCCAGAUCCCUGUUGUCGCGUUCAUUUGUCCAUCUGUUCCGAUAACAGUUUAUUAGUUGUUGCUUGAAUUCACUUCACAUGAAUUGAGCAAUAACUCGGGGCCAGGACCUCUGUUAAAUGUUGGGAUGAAGCAAAAAGGCACACACGCUCUGUUUUCAAGGAGCUUGCAGACCACUCUAGAAGGCCAAGAGUCUCCAUUAUCCAAUCAAGAAAGUAUCGGGAGUGCAAGGAAGUCAUGGCUAUUGCCGCCUGGGAAUUGAGAGCCAGGGAUAUGGUCUUGGAUGAAGAGGUAGCAGUGUUGGGCAGUUUAUCCAUUUAUCUGCCUGUGACUCACUUGUCUAUGCAUCCAACAAUUGUGCUUAAAUCCAUCUGUGCCUCACGGGCCCUGACUGCUCAAUGUAACGAUUUCCCAAAUAUUUAGGGUUUUCUGUGGAUCAGCUUCUGUGCCAGGCAGUUGGAGGAGGACUGCACAUGUUUACUUGGAACUUGGGCAUCUCCUGAAGUCUGGUUCCUCAUGCUGUUGAGCAUAAAAGUCACCUGGGGGUUAACAAUACAGAUUCCCAAGCGUACUUCUAAAAACCUGCAUUAUUGAGUCAGGAGAGCAAUCCCAGAACCUUCACUGUUAUGCAGCACCCAGGCGAAUUCAGAUAGAUCACACCUUCAGAGACAUUGGGGUCUAGUGGUCUUGAAAGGCGAGAAGUUAAGAGUAAGUUGCAAUACAGCAUUAAAAGGAAAAAGUAAAGACCCAGAAGUACAGACAUACAGGGAGGUGUUUAGGGAAAGGAGAGCUCUUAUUACUGGAUAAUAGGGUGAAUGGGGUUGGGGACAAGUGGUGGGCAGCGUGAAUUGAAAAUUCUGGAAGGUGGAUAGAAGCUAGAUUUUGAUUGCAGGGUCAGGAACGAUGAGGAGUUUCAGCUUUAUCUUAUAGGCAACUGCAAGUUGUAGAAGGUACUUUAAGGAGUCAGGGUUUUAAAAUAAAACAAAUGUUUUUUAAUGUUUAUUUUUAAGAGAGAGAGAGAGAGGGAGCACGAGCGAGCACAAGCGGGGGAGGGGCAGAGAGAGAGGCAGGCACAGAAUCCCAAGCAGGCUCCAAGCUCUGAACUGUCAGCACAGAGCCUGACACGGGGCUCGAACUCACAGACUGUGAGAUCAUGACCUGUGCUGAAGUUGGACACCUAACUGACUGAGCCACCCAGGUGCUCCUUAAUUUUUUUUUUUUUUUAGUGUUUAUUUAUUUUUAAGAGAGAGAGCACGAGCAGGGAAAUGACACAGAGAGAGGGAGACACAGAAUCCGAAGCAGGCUCCAGGCCCUGAGCUGUCAGCACAGAGCCUGACCUGGGGAUCGAACCCACAAGCCGUGAGAUCAUGACCUGAGGGAAAGUCGGACACUCAACCGACUGAGCCACCCAAGCUCCCCAAGGUGUCAGUGUUUUAAAAUCCCCAUGAAGGGGCGCCUGGGUGGCGCAGUCGGUUGAGCGUCCGACUUCAGCCAGGUCAUGAUCUUGCGGUCUGUGAGUUCGAGCCCCGCGUCGGGCUCCGAGCUGAUGGCUCAGAGCCUGGAGCCUGUUUCCGAUUCUGUGUCUCCCUCUCUCUCUGCCCCUCUCCCGUUCAUGCUCUGUCUCUCUCUGUCCCAAAAAUAAAAAAAUAAAAAAAAACGUUGAAAAAAAAAAUUAAAAAAAUAAAAUAAAAUCCCCAUGAAGUUACACAGCUGGGACCUCAGUCUUUUCCCAAAUUUUUACGAGUUUUAGUGUCUCGGUGAAUGGCAGUUUUCUUCAUUCAGGAGAAGUAAUGUUUACCUGUUGGGGCAAUGUUAGGACCUGAACGAGAUAAAGUGGCACACGGACAGCACUCGUAAACAGAAGUGGCUUUAUUCGUACUGUCAUUUGGGUGGGCAUAGAGGUGGUGAUCAUUCCCGCCGGACACGUGGGACCCCAGGGACAAGACGAGAGGGGCUCGGGGCGUUAAGUGUAGUCCGAGGAGCUAGAAACCCGGGGCAUUCUUGCUCCCAGGGCCUGGUGGUGAGAAGAUGAUGAGAUAGAAGAAAGUCAGAACUGGGGGGCACCUAAUCUACGCUGGGCUGUUUGUACACAGGCUCAGCCAGUCUUCCUGACGUGACUUUAGACUUCAUAGUGAUGAGCCUUCCUGAUAAGAACAGCCCCAGUAAAAAAGAGAUCUGCUCCCAAUGCUGGCCUUUACGCUGCCCCCUCCUCUCUGUCUACUGUCUCCCUGCCCCAUGAUCCUCCCCUUCCUUCCACACCUUUCCUGGCCGCAAACCUGUUCCAGCCAAGGUCCCCCAGGAGAGCUGGCUGGUGCACACAGUCUCUGAGCCCCUGGAGGGCAGGAUGGCCUCCCGGGAGCCUUCCCUGCCAGUUGGCCUCCAGAAGCCCUACCUUUUCCAGCCUUGGCCACUUCUUCCUGGCAAAUGCCCUGGGCUCUCCUUCCCCGUCGACAGGGUUUUGGGCUCUGAGAACAGCAUCCUCGCUUUUAGGGUCUGCUUCUCUCACUAAUGAAUGAGUUGGGUGGGUGCCUAGAAGUCUAUUACAGCUGUUGAUUCAUUAAUUUCUUUCCCUCUCCCUUGACCUAAAGACUCCAGAAUAAUCACAUUUUAUGUGGUGGCUGCACCUGGGCGAUUCAGUGAAAGGGGGAAACCUGGAUGCAAGGGGCAGGGCGGGGGUGGGGAGCUCCCGCUGCGGGACGUUCGGUACAGUCGCCCUUCUGCCCCUCCUUUCUCUGGAUUCAGGGGCCACCUGUGGUGGGCCGAGCAGAGCAGGUGCAGUGUCAGGACAUGGUCCUUGCUCCCGUGGAAUCCACGGCCCCGUGAGAAGUCCAGGUGAGCGGGUGCACGAACGCAGGCAUGAGUGAAUACCUACCAUAGGACACGGCCGGUGGCACCUAGAUGCCCUGGGCGUGCUCCCCUCCCUCAGCCAGGACCUGUCAUGCCUCAGAGAACAGCCCUUGGGCUACUAGAGAUGUUUUGCUUCUCAUGCUCAGGGGACUGGAAGGGACUGGGCAUUUAGCUGCCCUUAGUCUGUGACUGUGAGCCCAGCUCCCUUGUCUCAGGUUGGGAAAACUCUGAGCCCACCCUCCCCAGGACUUGGCCUGGGAUCGCACCCUCACUUGCUCCUUCUGGCCCCUGUCUUACCUCCCUUAACUCCAAGCAGUGUCUCCUCAAAGUGCGUUUAUAAAUGACCCCUCACGUACAAGUUCUUAUCUCAGGGUCUGCGUUAGGGGAGCCCAGCCGAAGACAGUCACAGCCAGGCAUGCAGACAAGUACAUAAAUAAGAAGGAAGGAAAAAAAUUCCAGAAGAGGCGGCAUCCUAGCCCCAUCCUGGGGAAUGAUUAAUAUUCCCAGGAGGAAAGACCCUAUAAGGCAGAUUACUAUUUCCAACUGUGUAUUCUUAGUAUUUUCUCUUUUUUUAAGUUUAUUUAUUUAUUUUGGAGGGAGAGAGAGUGUGAGCAUGAGCAGGGGAGGGGCAGGGAGAGAGAGGGAGAGAGAGAGAAUCUCGAGCCAGUUGUACGCUAUCAGCACGGAGCCUGAUGCGGGGCUCGAACCCGUGAGCCGCAAGAUCAUGAUCGUGACCUGAGCUGAAACCAAGAGUCGGACGUUUAACCGACUGAGCCACCCGGGUGCCCCUGUUCUUAGUAUUUCCCAUUCUGAGUCCCACCUUCUCAAGGUCGACACCGGAGGUCAAUCUCCGAGGCUCCCUGGAAGCCUGGCCACGGGUGACCUAGAUGUGGCCAGUCCGUCUGACCUCCCAUCCCCAUGCAGGACUUUCCCAGGAGCAGGAGCUGCAGGAGGCAGGGAUGGGGUGUCUCUCCUUCUUGCUGUGCUGGCAGCAGCCGUGGUCUCUCCCUCGGGCCAGUCCCACUGGCACGAGCCUCUCCCGCAAGCCAGACCUGAGCCUAAUCCUCAACUGUGGCCAUUUGCAUAAACUCUUCUUCCGCUGAGUUAUUCAGCUUUCAUCGUCUGCAAGCAGGUUCAGAGGGAGAGAAGGAAGGAAGGGAUCCAGGCAGGAAACAGUCUGGAAACAGCGGGUGCAAAAGCCGAGAGGUGUGCGAGGGAGAACUGGCAACACAGAGGGCAGUUCAGAAUUGCCAAACCUGGGGACGCGUGUCCAGGGACCAGAUUACUGUUCAUUGUUCCGUGCUUGUCCCCGACUCGGCCAUUUUCUCCCUGUGUGACCACAGAUGAGUGGCCCCUCCGUAGGUUCCAAAGCAGCAUGUAACAGGGCUCACUGCGUGCUCCUUGUCCAGGGCAAUUCCCCCUCUGAGCUGUGAGUUGUGAAGCUCAGCCCUCACCUGUGUCCUUAGCUCCGGAAGGGCAGGAAUUCUGCUCUGUGGCCAGAGAAAUUCCCAUCUUAAAAUUUUUUUUUUUACGUUUAUUUAUUUUUGAGAGAGAGAGAGAGAGAGAGACGGAGCAUGAAUGGGGGAGGGGCAGAAAGAGAGGGAGACACAGAAUCCGAAACAGGCUCCAGGCUCUGAGCGGUCAGCACAGAGCCUGACGCGGGGCUCGAACUCACGGACCGCGAGAUGGUGACCUGAGCUGAAGUCGGACGCUUGACCGACUGAGCCACCCAGGCGCCCCGAGAAAUUCCCAUCUUUAGAUGAUUAGGUGGAUACACCCUGUCCAAAAGAUGCUGCAAAGAGUCCUUAAUUCUCCCCUCACGUUGCCCUUCCGUCCGUGUGUGGGAUGGAUAUUGGGGUCACCUUCCUCUUUCUCUUCUCUACCGUCCCCAGCUCGUGCAAUGCCUCCGUGUUCCUCUGGCAUCC
rnacentral:lncRNA from 1 species